rnacentral:rRNA from 1 species
AGCGAACGCUGGCGGCAGGCUUAACACAUGCAAGUCGAGCGCCCCGCAAGGGGAGCGGCAGACGGGUGAGUAACACGUGGGAACGUACCCUUCAGUUCGGAACAACCCAGGGAAACUUGGGCUAAUACCGGAUACGUCCGUAAGGAGAAAGAUUUAUCGCUGAAGGAUCGGCCCGCGUCUGAUUAGCUAGUUGGUGAGGUAAUGGCUCACCAAGGCUACGAUCAGUAGCUGGUCUGAGAGGAUGAUCAGCCACAUUGGGACUGAGACACGGCCCAAACUCCUACGGGAGGCAGCAGUGGGGAAUAUUGGACAAUGGGGGCAACCCUGAUCCAGCCAUGCCGCGUGAGUGAUGAAGGCCCUAGGGUUGUAAAGCUCUUUUAGCAGGGAAGAUAAUGACGGUACCUGCAGAAAAAGCCCCGGCUAACUUCGUGCCAGCCGCCCGCCGUAA